ACAAUAAAAUGAUCUCGAAAGUGUUUGGUAUGAAGGAUCCCAUACUCGACGAUGAGCAAAGCUGGGAAUGAGCAGAAGCCCGUGAUGGAUCCGGGAUCCGCCUUUACACUGCUUCUAUCAUGCCCUGGCGGUCUCCCAAGAUCAAGAGUAUAUGUUGACUUCGGCGUAUCAUAUGACAGGAUUCCUCACCCAGAUGCUGACUUGGAGGAAUCCAUAAAUGAGAUAUGGACCUGUCAAGUUGAAAAGAAGCCAUCACUAUAUAAUGGCAAGAAAUUCAGAUAUGGGGGAUACACACUUCAUCAUGCAGAGGGUGGCAAUAAAUCCUCUUUAUGCCUUCAAUUGGGUCUAACAGAUUACAGGACAUUUGUUGGCACAAACUUGAGCCCUCUCUGGGAGGAUUUCCUUGUUUCCUCUGAAGAUGGUUCCGUAACUUGUCAAUACUUGGCUAAUCCCCUGGGUAAUGGAGCUAUUGUUGAAACAAUUAAUAAAAGGGUACUUGUCUUGCAAAGAAGUCACAAUGUUGGCGAGUUUCCAGGAUACUUCGUUUUUCCCGGAGGCCAUUCAGAGCCUGCAGAAGUUGGCGUUUCAUCCCAUCAAACCAACAAAAUUUCAACAGAUCAUGAAGUAUUAAAUGGCAAGAUUUCUCAGGAGAUGUUUGAAGGUAUCAUUCGUGAAGUGGUUGAAGAAAUUGGAGUUCCUGCAGAAUCAUUGACUGAUCCCAUCUUUAUUGGAAUAUCAAGGAGGAACCUGAAUGUUAGGCCAACUGCAUUUUUCUUUAUUAAUUGUAGUCUUGGAUCGCACGAAAUUCAGCAGCUGUAUUCAAGAGCCCAAGAUGGUUAUGAAUCCAUCCAACUUUAUGAUGUUUCAAUGGAAGAGCUGCUGAAGAUGUCGGAGAGAAUGCCUGGUUGCCAUCGAGGUGGAUUUGCAUUAUAUGAGCAGAUGAUGAAAGCCAGCCAAGGCGACUUAUAAAUAUGAUUGGCAGGUCAUUCUCUUAACAAGUGUAACAUCGUGGUUUCACAACUUUAGUGGGAGCACCAUAGAGAAAGGCAUUACUUAUAUCUAUUUGCAAUAAUUGCCAACCUUGAUUGAAUAUGCCCCAGUGGUUUCUUCAUAAAAGACUUUAAUGAGAUCAUUAUAGAUGAAGGAAAGUUUGUCAAAACCGGCAGAAACACUGGCGGACAUGGCAUGUCGGUCUUUUUUGACAGAAAUUGUGGCUGAACUCCCGUAUUUUGAGUUUUUGGGUGAAAAAUCAACGGACGGUCUGUUUUUGGUAUGCUUGUCUUCGAUUGAAGUUGUCACGCUAAUCUGUUGGAAAACGGACGAACGGUCCGGAGGUUCUUGAUUUACUAGUAUUUGGCUGAAAUUGCCACCGAAAAACAGACGGAAGAUUAGCCAGUUCUCAGUGCACUUGUUUUGGGUAGAAAUUGCCGCCGAAAAUCAGCUAGUUUUCUACUUUGUAUUGAACAACCGCACGAAAGCCUUCAUUUGCUCUUCCCCUCCCUCCGCUUAUGCGAGCUCGCAGCCAACAUCCUGUCUAAAUUGAUUUGACCCAAAUCUCCACCGUUUCUCAGGUUUUUUGUGAAAUCUUUGUGAAACUUGCUCUCUAUC